GUAUCAAUGUGCUAAAACUAAGAAAAAAAAUACUUGAAUUAGUUUGUGCAGAGUAACUGGGCUUAGCAAAGUGUCCAGGAAGCAAUCGGCAUGGAUGCUUAUUUUUCCAGGAUAGGGCUACAUGGUUUUAAAGUAAAUACAGUGAAAGAAAAACUUAAGAAAGCAGUUUAGCAUGUUUACUCUUGUGAUAUCUGUGCUAUACUUCAAGAGCAGAGAAAUCAUAAUAAAGAACAAAGAUUUUUGUCUCCUCAGUCUG
rnacentral:lncRNA from 1 species